rnacentral:rRNA from 1 species
CAGUCGCCGCGGUAACACGAAGGGUGCAAGCGUUAAUCGGAAUUACUGGGCGUAAAGCGCGCGUAGGUGGUUUGGUAAGAUGGAUGUGAAAUCCCCGGGCUCAACCUGGGAACUGCAUCCAUAACUGCCUGACUAGAGUACGGUAGAGGGUGGUGGAAUUUCCUGUGUAGCGGUGAAAUGCGUAGAUAUAGGAAGGAACACCAGUGGCGAAGGCGACCACCUGGACUGAUACUGACACUGAGGUGCGAAAGCGUGGGGAGCAAACAGGAUUAGAUACCCCUGUAGUCCCUGUCUCUUAUAC